UACGUAGGGUGCGAGCGUUAAUCGGAAUUACUGGGCGUAAAGCGUGCGCAGGCGGUUCGUUAAGUUCGUUGUGAAAGCCCCGGGCUCAACCUGGGAAUGGCAUUUGGGACUGCAAGGCUGGAGUUUGGCAGAGGAGACUGGAAUUCCCGGUGUAGCAGUGAAAUGCGUAGAUAUCGGGGGAGAUACCGAUGGCGAAGGCAGCCCCUGGGCCAAUACUGACGCUCAGGCACGAAAGCGUGGGGAGCAAACG
rnacentral:rRNA from 1 species